UCCAGUUUCGCCAACCCCGGUGCUAUUUAAAGGUGUCAGGUGGCUCGGCAGUGGCUCCUGGCCCCGGGUCCUGGCGGCCGCAGUUGGAAGAGCCGAGGCGAGGGCGCCGAUCCCGGACUGCGAGGGAGGCGGAGAGACGGGGCAAUUGACUAUUGCUAACAAGUUAGCCUUGAUCGGGGUGUAAUCAAUUAUCUGCAGCGGCACUUCUUUCUCUUUCUCUCUCCUUUCUCCCUUUCUCCUCUCUUCUUUCUCUCUGUUCUCUCCUCCUGUUCUCGCUCUCCCUCCCUCCCUCUCUCUUCUCUCUUCUCUGCUCCCCCUUCUCUCUCCUUCUCUCCCUCUCCCUCGCCCUCUCUUUCACUCUCUGUCUGUCCAAUGCAGGCGGCUGUAAGUUGGGAAGCUCAUUAAUUAGCGGGCCGGGGGUAGGAGGAGCCGGCUGGAAUUAGCCUGCCUAAUGCGCCUGUCAGUCCGGGCGCUGCGCCGCGCUCGGCCCGAGCUGUUUGUAAAUUACAUUAGCUGCUCCUUUAUUGCACCCGAACCUCGGGCGACUGAAAAGCCACCGCCCCCACCCCAAACUGCGAGCCGCGCUCCUGGCGCACCCGCCUCCCGCCGGCCUAGCUGCAAUGACCGCACCGGCCCGAAGGUCUCGGUCUCUCCGACCCGGGAUGUGGAGCCCGAAAGAGUGGUGGGAACCCCAGCCCGGGAGGGACGCGGCCGCCGCUCGGGCCAGCCGAUGGGGUGCCAGGCAUUAGAAACCUUCCCUCCAAUCCUCACCAUGUCUCCAUUUUGCCAAAGAAGAAACUGAGGUUAAGGUCGCGAUGCUCUGGCCAGCAUCACAGGUGGGAUUCGAACGCAGAUGGGGUUUGGAGCAGCUCUUGUGUUUAAGCCACACAGUCUGACGUUAGACGGGUGAAUCCAGCCCUCGCAGGGCCUGGAGUGACCUAAGCCGAGAGGAGCUGGGCUGAAUCUCCAGGCGUUCCUUUCUUUCUGCCCUAGGAAAGCUUUGAAAUUCUUAUUUUCAGGUAAACGAUUUUGGCAGUGCCCGGAGAAGGAUAGAAGUAAGACCUAAAGAGGAACUUUCCGCAUGUUAUGGGAGAGCCCCUGGGGCGAGGAGGCCAGGGCAGCCUUCCCCAGGCCAAGGGAGCAGCCAUCGCUCUUGGAUCUGUUUUUCCUCAAGCGUCUGUCCUGUGGGGCCUAGUCCCCAAGCGGCAGUCCUGGACCUAACGGGAGAAGGGGCUGGGGGAAGAGGGCGCACCCCCAGCCCGGGACCCACAGCAGCCCUAGCCAGUCCCCCACUCUCUCCCUCUCUAGGGGCCUCUCUCUGAGAUCGGGUCCUCCUCCUGCAGGGCAGCAGAGUGGAAGCCAGGGCCUGGGACCCUCUGGCUGGGCAAGGAGGGACUGCAGUCCGGCUCCCGGCGACCCCGUCCCCAGUGCCAGCGGUGGGGUCGCCCGUGGCGGCCCGGACAGGCCACGGGUCCCUCUCCACAAGUCCCAUUACGUUGUAUUUAUGUUUCAUUUUAUAGUUUUUUUUCCUCCUCCCUUAUUAUUGUCUCACUCUGGGGGAGGCAAAGGAUAUAAUAUAUUCAUCUUUAUUAUACCAAAUCUGUGUGAAGCAUUUAAUAAAACGCUGUUUCCACACAGCCAGGGAUAUUAGUGUGAGCUAUUCUUAAGUUAAUGCUCCUGGACUGAGGGCGCCGCUGCCACAGCGCCUGCUGCCGGCGGGUCGCGGGAAGCGCAGGCCCUGGCCGCCGCGCUCCCCGCGCGGAUCCAACGCCCUGGGUGCCCUUCUCGCCUGCGCCUUGAAGCCCCCACGCCCAUCCUAGCGCGUCUCUCUGUGACCUCUCGGCCGCCAGCCUGGGAGGAGGGGUUUGGAAGAGCCGAAUUCAAGCACCCUUCCUCUCCCCUGCCACACCUUGCAUUUCGAAUCCGCUGUGGGCCUUGGCUUGCAUCUAUGAAAAUGGGAAGAAUUCCAUCACUGCCUCCCUCUCAGGGAUCUUGAGAGGCCGAAGAUGCCUUGAAGGUGGACAGGAUUUUUUAAACAGGAAAGAAAAAAUCGAGAAUUUGUAAGGUCAGAAUCAAUGAGGGCCAGAGAGAAAUAGAGAGGGUGCAGGAGUGGUUUCAGGCAACACAGAGCGAGCUGGACCCCAGGCGAGCAGACAGGGUGCAACUCCAGUUUGGGCAGAACCCAGGAGGUUUCGGCAUGCCUGGGCCUCAC
rnacentral:lncRNA from 1 species